rnacentral:rRNA from 1 species
UACAGAGGUGGCAAGCGUUGUUCGGAAUUACUGGGCGUAAAGGGCGCGUAGGCGGUUCGUUAAGUCCUGUGUGAAAUCCCCCGGCUCAACUGGGGAACUGCACAGGAAACUAGCGGGCUUGAGUUCGGGAGAGGGAAGCGGAAUUCCUGGUGUAGCGGUGAAAUGCGCAGAUAUCAGGAAGAACACCAAUGGCGAAGGCAGCUCUCUGGGACGGUACUGACGCUGAGACGCGAAAGCGUGGGGAGCGAACAGG